rnacentral:rRNA from 1 species
UCUUAGUGGCGAACGGGUGAGUAACGCGUGAGCAACCUGACCUUCAGAGGGGGAUAACACCUGGAAACAAGUGCUAAUACCGCAUAAGACCACGACCCGACAUCGGGAUGAGGUCAAAGGAGCAAUCCGCUGAGGGAGGGGCUCGCGUCCCAUUAGAUAGAUGGCGGGGUAACGGCCCACCAUGUCGACGAUGGGUAGCCGAGCUGAGAGGCUGAUCGGCCACACUGGAACUGAGACACGGUCCAGACUCCUACGGGAGGCAGCAGUGGGGAAUAUUGGGCAAUGGGCGCAAGCCUGACCCAGCAACGCCGCGUGAGGGAAGAAGGCUUUCGGGUUGUAAACCUCUGUCCUUGGUGACGAAAAAAAUGACGGUAGCCAAGGAGGAAGCCCCGGCUAACUACGUGCCAGCAGCCGCGGUAAUACGUAGGGGGCGAGCGUUGUCCGGAAUUACUGGGCGU